rfam:Chlorocebus sabaeus isolate 1994-021 chromosome 7, whole genome shotgun sequence.
GCCGGAUGCUGUGGUGUGUGCCUGUAGUCCCAGCUACUUGGGAGGCUGAGGCAGGAAGAUCUCUUGAGCCCAGGAGUUCUGGGCUGCAGUGCGCUAUGCCAAUCAGGUGUUUGCACUAAGUUCAGCAUCAAUAUGGUGACCUCCAGGGAGUGGAGGACCACCAGGUUGCCUAAGGGGUAGUGAACCCGCCCAGGUUGGAAACAGGGCACGUCAAAACUUCCAUGCUGAUCAAUAUUGGGAUCACGCCUGUGAAUAGCCACAGCACUCCAGCCUGGGUGAUAUGGUUAGGUCCAA